CUCUCCUCAGUGGCCCAGCUUGUGCUGCAAAGCUUCUCCAACCUCCUAUUCCAUGUCCCACUACCUCCACUAGGUCGCCGGCACCCCUAAACCUCAGUUUUGUGAAACCACCAUCCACCAGCCAGUGCCCCAUUACUACCACUAGGCCCCCUGUACUACUUACCUCCACUGUCAAGGACCCACCACCUUCCACUCUGCAACCUGGUGCAGUGUGUGGAAACCCUUCAGCAUCCAUUCAACCUUCAUCCCCUUCCUUCCAGUCAGACAGGCAUGAAUCUCAAGAAAUAACACAUACAAUGACACUAUUUCUACUGGACCUUACAAAAACUCAUCAGCACCUUUAUUUUCGGAACAAAAUGGCAUUCUAUAAAAAAAAAAAAAAACUUAUUCUCACUAAAGGGCUACAACUUGUCAAGUGAGAAAAUUCGAAAAAAAAACUAGCAAACAUGUUAACUACUUAUAAGAGAGUGAAAGACAGGCGCCGUGCAACUGGGGAAGGGAAGAUCACCUGGGAGUACUAUACACUAAUGGAUGAGUUAUUUGGGUCAUCGGGGAUCGGUACUGCACCACCUGGCACCAUUCACUCCACACCUCUGGGUUUGGAAGAGACCUCUUCCACAAGCAGGCCCACAACGUCUUCUCUUCAAGACCAGCCGGUAGGUGCUAGUAUGGAUGAACAGCCAGGAACUGCUACCAUACAAAAUGCAAACAUCACAAGAAGGCAAAGACGACCACAACCCUUACAAUUCCUGGACGCUUAUGAAGAGCAUGCAGAGAGAAGGACUGCUGUGCUUGAGUCCCUGGUAAGGCCAGAUCUGGAGAGAUGGCGGCGACUUAAGGAGAGGCGGAGAAGGUCCUUCGAAAAAAAGAUGGUGACCAGCUUGGGAACAAUUGUGGAGGAGCUAAAAAACAUGGGGAAAAGACAAGAGCAAAUUAUGCAUCUAUUACAGAACCCACAUGAACCCCAAUAAAAUUAUAAUCUAAAGAUGUUAUCUCUUUUGAUUUACACCUUUCCCCAAAAUGUCCUAUGUUUUUUUUUUCCCAAAUAACAAUUUCUAAUGACAAACUAAUUUUGUUCAAUAAAACAAAUUUCUUUAUUUCA
ensembl:lncRNA